CUGACAAGAAUCUCUGAAUUUCUGUUAUAAAACAGUACCCCCAUUCAUUCACACCGAGGACAUUGACUCUCAAUUCAUCCUCACUCACGCACACUCACAAAAAGCUCUCUGAAAAUUCAAAAAUAGCUUUCAAAAAGAUUCAAAUCUCAUAUAUGAAAUUUCCAGCUUUAAGAUUUGAAAGAAAAACACAAAAACAGAUAUAAUUUAGGUGAAUUUUGCAUUUGAAAAGAGUUAUAAAAGGUGUAUCUCUUUCUGCUGAACCGAGGAACUCUCUCCAUUAUUUUUUCUGGGUUUUCGAGUUUAUUUUGGGAUUGAAAGUGAAGUUGUUUUGCUGAUUUGAUGCUGAAUUUGCUUGUUUAGUAGUUGUGGUUUGUCUGACCUUUAUUUGGUCACAAUCUCUUCUCCUUAUGCUGUUUUUGAGAUUUAUGCCGCAGUUCAUUUUACGACAGCAUGACAUUGAAGUUAGAACUUAGAGUUAGUAAUUUCCAAUAUCUGAUUUGUACGAACACGUAUGGACUGUAUUUCUUAAUUCCAUUUGUUAUGACACUAAAUUUGUAAUCAUUUAGUCUUAUUCUGAAUUUUCUUCUACGUGAGCGUAUCAUGCUAUAAAAUUAGGUGAGCAAGUAUGUUUUUCUUUCAUUUCAUGUUAAGAAUAAUUGAAAUAGGUAAUCCUUAGUAAUUGACUGAUA